rnacentral:rRNA from 1 species
UAUGUGAUUGUCUCUCGCAUAUCAAUAAGCGGAGGAAAAGAAACUACCAAGGAUUCCCCUAGUAACGGCGAGUGAAGCGGGAAGAGCUCAAAUUUGAAAUCUUAAAGGGUUUCCCUUUACGAAUUGUAAUUUAAAGAAGUGUUUUCUGUUGAGGUUUUGGUAAAAGUUCUUUGGAAUAGGACAUCAUAGAGGGUGAGAAUCCCGUAUUUGACCUUUACUUUCAACUUUGUGAUACACUUUCAAAGAGUCGGAUUGUUUGGGAAUGCAGUCCAAAAUGGGUGGUAAAUUUCAUCUAAAGCUAAAUAUUGGCGAGAGACCGAUAGCGAACAAGUACCGUGAGGGAAAGAUGAAAAGAACUUUGAAAAGAGAGUUAAACAGUACGUGAAAUUGUCAAAAGGGAAGCGUUUGACACCAGGUGUUGUUUUUCUGAAAAUCAAUUAAAGAACUGUUUAUGCUAAGCUGUUUAGACUUUAUCAGCUAUCUGUUUAGUUUUGAGCUUUUCUUUAAUGCACUUUUCAGUUAACAAGUCAACAUCAAUUUCUUUUGCUGUAAAAAAGCUUGAGGAAGGUGGCUUGAGAUUCGUCUUAAGUGUUUAUAGCCUCUUGCCUAUGUAGUCGGAGAGAUUGAGGUCUGCAGCGUAGAUCCUUCGGGGCUAAAUGCAUUUGUGCUAAGUUAUAGCAUUUUAUAGACAACUUGUUGACUAUGAUUUGUCUUGUAGCUUACUCGCUUAUGUUAUUUUACCUACGCUUAGGAUGUUGAGCGCAUGUCUCUCUCU